CGCGGCCUAUCAGCUUGUUGGUGGGGUAGUGGCCCACCAAGGCGACGACGGGUAGCCGGCCUGAGAGGGUGACCGGCCACACUGGGACUGAGACACGGCCCAGACUCCUACGGGAGGCAGCAGUGGGGAAUAUUGCGCAAUGGGCGGAAGCCUGACGCAGCGACGCCGCGUGAGGGAUGACGGCCUUCGGGUUGUAAACCUCUUUCAGUAGGGACGAAGCGGAAGUGACGGUACCUACAGAAGAAGCACCGGCCAACUACGUGCCAGCAGCCGCGGUAAUACGUAGGGUGCAAGCGUUGUCCGGAAUUAUUGGGCGUAAAGAGCUCGUAGGCGGUCUGUCACGUCGGCUGUGAAAACCCGAGGCUCAACCUCGGGCCUGCAGUCGAUACGGGCAAACUAGAGUGUUGCAGGGGAGACUGGAAUUCCUGGUGUAGCGGUGAAAUGCGCAGAUAUCAGGAGGAACACCGGUGGCGAAGGCGGGUCUCUGGGCAACAACUGACGCUGAGGAGCGAAAGCGUGGGGAGCGAACAGGAUUAGAUACCCUGGUAGUCCACGCCGUAAACGUUGGGCACUAGAUGUGGGGGACAUUCCACGUUUUCCGCGUCGUAGCUAACGCAUUAAGUGCCCCGCCUGGGGAGUACGG
rnacentral:rRNA from 1 species